UCGGAGAGGGCGCAUGAGAAACGGCUACCACAUCUAAGGAUGGCAGCAGGCGCGCAAAUUACCCAAUCCUAACUCAGGGAGGUAGUGACAAGAAAUAACAACUUCGGGCUUGCCCGAGAUUGGAAUGAGUACAACGUACAAUCUUUAACGAGUACCAACUGGAGGGCAAGUCUGGUGCCAGCAGCCGCGGUAAUUCCAGCUCCAGUAGCGUAUACUAAAGUUGUUGCAGUUAAAAAGCUCGUAGUUGAAUUUCUGUGUAGUGUACUUGCGGUCUCCGGACCAAUAUAUACUGCACAUCCAUCUGAACAGCACUUCUUGUCAUUCAUUUGUCGGUUGUGUGAUCAGAUACUUUACCUUGAGAAAAAUAGAGUGUUCCAAGCAGGCGUCCGCCUGAAUAAUAAAGCAUGGAAUAAUACAAUAGGACUGGGUUCUAUUGGUGCAUAGAACUUAGUAAUGAUUAAUAGGGACAGUUGGGGGCAUUUGUAUUUAAUUGUCAGAGGUGAAAUUCUUUGAUUUAUUAAAGACAAACCUAUGCGAAAGCAUUUGCCAAGGAUGUUUUCAUUAAUCAAGAACGAAAGUUAAGGGAUCGAAGACGAUCAGAUACCGUCGUAGUCUUAACCAUAAACUAUGCCGACUAGAGAUUGGAGGUGCAAUCUCAAUACUCCUUCAGCAUCUUAGGAGAAAUCAAAGUCUUUGGGUUCUGGGGGUAGUAUGGUCGCAAGACUGAAACUUAAAGGAAUUGACGGAAGGGCACCACAAGGUGUGGAGCCUGCGGCUUAAUUUGACUCAACACGGGGAAACUUACCAGGUCCAGACAUGGGAAGGAUUGACAGAUUGGAGAUCUUUCUUGAUUCCAUGGAUGGUGGUGCAUGGCCGUUCUUAGUUGGUGGAGUGAUUUGUCAGGUUAAUUCCGAUAACGAACGAGACCUCAACCUGCUAACUAGUUGCAGCUUCUUUCAAGCUGUAGACUUCUUAGAGGGACUAUAGGAUUUAACCUAAGGAAGUUUGAGGCAAUAACAGGUCUGUGAUGCCCUUAGAUGUCCUGGGCCGCACGCGCGCUACACUGAUGCAGGCACUAAGUCUCCAAUUUCGAAAGAUUUUGGGAACCUUCAAACUGCAUCGUGCUGGGGAUUGACACUUGUAAUUAUUUGUCAUCAACGAGGAAUACCUAGUAAGCGCAAGUCAUCAGCUUGCACUGAUUACGUCCCUGCCCUUUGUACACACCGCCCGUCGCUCCUACCGAUUGGGUGAUGCGGUGAGCCUUUCGGACGGGCGCUUCGGCGCCUGAAAGUUAUGCAAAUCUCAUCACUUAGAGGAAGGAGAAGUCGUAACAAGGU
rnacentral:rRNA from 1 species